rnacentral:piRNA from 1 species
UGAUACCAGGACACUAAGCAAAUCAUGGCUUC